AGGGUUGCGCACGCCUCUGGUUCGUUUUGGCCCUACCUGUCAGCGCUUUGUUGCAUUUAGUCUGCGUCUUGUGGAUUCUUCUUAAACCGUUCGUGCACUGAGAUACCGCCUCAUCACACGCAAAAAGGAAAACAACUACGAUCUCAUAGGAUGCACCGCUAUCAUAUCAAGCUUCUCUCUCCUCUCCGGAAUCCCCUCAUCUCCCACAUGACCUAUAUUUUCCCGUCGCACCGCCGGGUCCGAUCUCCUCCACCGAGUAGGGACUGUUGUGGGUUGGUCUGGAGGACGCUCUGGGUUCCGUUGAGGGUGGCGGCGCUCGGUGUUCGGUGUUGAGGCCAUCCCUGCUGGGGCUUACCAGCACAUCGUCGACCGAUCCCUAGAUCCGUUCUUGGCUUCAGUGUUCCAUCCACCAUGGAAUUAAUGUAUAAAGAGUUUGAAGGUGGGGGACGCUAUAUUGAAGUAGAUCAAGUUGCCACCGUUGUCUUUCAAGAUCCCUACCCCUCUCAGAAAAAAAUCGGUGUGUCCAGUACAAGAUUGACCCAUAAUGCAAUACAUGUGGUAUUCCUGCAGCCCUGCAGCUGUGCACCUUAUUUGUUCCCUGUUUUAAUCACUAUAUGCAAUUACACUGCUCCUUAUGUACUGUACUGAGAUGAUCCACUGUACUUGUUUUGACAAAUUGUUAGCUUGAUGAAAUGUCAAUUUUAAUGGAGGGGGUUUCCUUAGAAUUAUCAUUUUAUUGUUCAAUCAGCCAGGAGAAAAUCAUGUAGGCUUAUUAUUAUAACUUACUAUUGAUAAGUGGCAUUCAACUGCGGCUCUUCUACCUACAUACAAGAAGAUAUUUCAAAGCUCAUAAGUCAGAUUUCCUUACAAAAGACCGACUUUUAUCUUCGAAAAAAAGACAAACUUGUGAAUCAGACUCCAUUCAGGUUGCUGUGAGUAUUCUUCGUUGAUUGUAGUGAUGUUCUUCAUUAUUAUUUUUGCAAAUUAUCAAGAUUUGUAAGUGAUUUUCAGGUGUGCCGCUUCUACCUGCAUAGAAGCAGCGAUGCCCAUGCUCCUAAGUCACGUGUUCUUUAGAGAAACUGAGUUUCAGCUUUAAAACCAGAAGGCAAUCUUCUAAAUGAGAAACAAUUGAGGUUAACCAUAUCUACAUGUUCAUGGAUUUUGGCUAUAUGUUUUACCCCAUGGAUGCUUUAGCUAAAUUCAUUAUUAGCGCAGCGUCAUGUUAAUCUUUUUUAUUUUUGAAAAAGUAGUAGGAAUGAGUAUUAGCAUUUCAAGUACCUAGUGUAUGAAAAAUAUAGAAUACUUAGCUUCUCUGAACUAAUCUAUGUGAAUAAAGAUUAUCUUUCAUAUAAAUUUUAUAUCAUUGAAUAAUGGAUUCAAAUUCUAUUUUAUACAGCUGCCUUAAAUGGCUUUUGUUAUUAGUCCACUGUACCACUAUAUUACACACUUAAAUUUCCAUAUUAUUAGAUACUGCAAGUUUUAUUUGCUGACAUCACUCAAGUAAGGAUUCAAAAUUUGUGGUAACACAUAAAGGAAACCACCCUAUCUCUUUGGUUAUAACCACUAACCAGAACUAAUAAGUAUACAUGCAGCUGACUAAUACAUUGGGUGUGUAAACUACAGAUAUAGAUCACACAUGCAUACCUUCUAUUUUAAUCUCAAAGGUUAAGGAAGAUCUUAGAGUUCUAUCAGGCAUUCCUAGAUUCCCGUCACUUUAUCUCAGAAUGUCAGUCUGCGUGUUCUAACCAAAUGAUGGCAAUACCUUUUUGGGGGGUCAAACAAUGGUUGAUACAUUGAAUGAAAACUCUAGCGUUUCUCUUAGGACGCACAUGUGUGUGCUACAUAUCGAUCAUGAGUUUGGCAAAGUAAACGUGUAGUCUGCCCAUCCCUAAAUAUAGUGGAGAUGGCAUUGCGGCUGUGCUGGUAGGCUGAAGCAGGCAUGCAGCAAUAGGUUCAGCAUGUUGGUUGGGCCAUAACUGAGCUCCAAGGCUUCGACUACUGCGUUGCCUUCAAUGUUGAAAACUGAGUAUGUUUAUGUUCCUAAUACAGAGAGAAGUGUACUCAUAUUUUGUAGAUAAUCAGUUUUAGCUAGCAUCAUUUCUUGAAUUAAGCUUGGGCCUUACUAUUAGAUAUGGGAGAACAUUCAGUCAGAAGAUAUGGGAGGAGAAUAUUUCAGAUAAGUUAUAAAUGUAUUGAAGAUCUUAAUAUAUGAGUGUUAUUAGCUAUUUUCCAUCACAUUUGUAUUGGAGAAUUGCUUACCAUCACAGCACUGUACUGCAGAUAUUUCAUGAUUAAACUGAUCGAUUGUUUUCUUCUAUGCAGAAACUUCCUUAGAUUUAGUUACGUAGAAUAAUCCGAUUGAGUUAUGUUCUUUUCUGCGGUGUUCUUUUCUGCGGAUAAACUUUUCUUAGCUUGAAGGCUUCAUUGAUAAUCUAUUGAGCUAGCAUUGUUUCUUGUACUAAGCUUGGAUUACACUUCUGAAUAUGGGAGAACGUACAAGAUCAACAGAUCAGAAAGAGGAAUAUUCUAAGUAGGUUGUAAAUAUAAUUGGAUAUUUGAAUACAUGAAUGUUAUUAGUUUUUUUUUCAUGUGAAUUUCGAAAUUGCCAUCUUGAUCGGGUGAAAUCUAGCUUUAUAUUGUACUAUCUCCACCCUUGGUCUGAUCAUAUUUUUCAGGGGCUAUACUUCUCUCCUCUCCAACAACCAGUACACAAUCAUCCCAUCUGCACAUGUGCAUAUAUCAUGUGUUCGAUGAAAAACAAUUUUACUCUUAACCCACAUACUAUUGUUUCUUUUGUUCUAGCUAUAUUUAGUUAUUUAUUCAUUUUGGUGUCUGACUUUGUUAAGUGGUGCACAUCACAUGUCACCACAGAGAUUGUUUCCAGUAACAAUUUUUGUUCUGGAAGUGAAAUGCUCAAGCUGUCGAAUUGGCACCCACAGUCCCUACAAUUCCACCGUGAGCACAAUUAAUCUAUAUAACCAUUUGGACCUUUGUUUCAGUAGCUAUUGAUGCUUCGGGAAAGAGCUUAAUCUGGAAACAAACUAUUUACCAUUUUUGCCUGUUUUUUGUAGUUAUUAAAAUGAUGCUACUGAGGUGUAAUAGUGUAAAUACAAUUUAUUUGGAUAUAAAAUCAGAGAUUACUGGUAUUUAUAAUCCACUGGGAUAAUAUGGAAUGAGUAUGGAUGACCAUGUGUUUGUCAACAUACCAACAUGUCAGUAGCUGUCGAGUUAUUUCGUAGUAUUGAAAUACUCUCUCUGGCUUUCCCUAAUAAUGCCCCAUCUUAUAAGAUAACCACUGCACAAUCUAUUCGUAGUUGUUUGUAAAACCUAAAUAUUAUUUGUACUCACAACUGUAUAAUUUAUUU